rnacentral:rRNA from 1 species
GAUCCUGGCUCAGGAUGAACGCUGGCGGCGUGCUUAACACAUGCAAGUCGAACGAAGCACUUAAAUUUGAUUCUUCGGAUGAAGAUUUUUGUGACUGAGUGGCGGACGGGUGAGUAACGCGUGGGUAACCUGCCUCAUACAGGGGGAUAACAGUUAGAAAUGACUGCUAAUACCGCAUAAGCGCACAGGGUCGCAUGACCUAGUGUGAAAAACUCCGGUGGUAUGAGAUGGACCCGCGU